AUGCUUUGUCUGGUAAUCAUCAAACCUCCUCUUAUCGAGGGUACCAAAAAAAAGAGCAUGGAGUGAAGAAAAAUCAACGAGGGACUUGGAGCAACAGCAGCAGCAGUGGGAGGGGGUUGUGGCGGGGCUGUAGGGGGGCGCUUGCCGGCAGAUACUUUGAGAUUUUUUUCUCCUCCCUCCCCCUGCAGCUGCCGACCCCGCUCCAACCCUUUGCACCAUCCACUCUCCAGAGUUGUUGUUUUCAUGCAUUUUAUCAGUCGACGCUGACGAUUUUCUUGGCGUUUUUAUUUGUAUUAUUUUCCACUGCCUCUCUGGCCCCCCACUCCCUCUCUCUUUCUCCCUCUCUCGCACUCUCUGGGUCUUUCUUCGUUUCUUUUUGGUAUUUUGUUUUUUUUUUAUUUGGGUUCGUUUUUGUUGUUGUAUUUUUUUGGUGUGCGGUUGGGUUCGGGUUCGGGUUAGCGUUCAGGCGGCUCUCGGUAUGGUUCGGGGCAAAUGUAUCUGUAUCUGUAGCUAUAGUAUCUGUAUCUGGCCUGGCCCGGCCUGGCUAUGUUGUUGCUGUAUCUCUUUUGUAUCUUUUAGCGCUGUUUUGAGUUAAGCAAUUGAUGGAUAUGGUUUAUUUAUAACGCUUGGCGACCGACACCGAAACCGAGGCACAACCGAGACCGAAGUUGAGCGAAGGAAACGCGUCGCCGAAUAUCAUCAUCAUCAUCAUCGACAUCAUCAUCAUCAUCUUGGAAUGCCGACGACGAGUGCGGCGGCCGUGUAUCUGUAAGAUACUCACUCGCUCGUUGAAUAUCUGACGGCUGCGGCUGCGGCGGCGGCGGCGGCGUUCGAUAAACGCGAGCGUAAUAAUAUUUUAUUGAAAUUUGUUUUCUUUUUUCUCUGUUUUUUCUCUCCUCGUUUUUGUUUUUGCGAGGAGGGGGUGUCUGCAUCUGUAUCUUUAGCCCAGUACCUGCAGCUGUAUCUGUUCCGCUGUGUGUGCGCGCGUAUCUGCAGCUGUAUCUGCAUCUGCAUCGGCAUUGGCAUCGGAAGAGUGUGUGUGUGCCACAACUGAAGUCGAGUGCAACGCAUUUUGAUUGUUCGCCUGCUCUUUUGAUGAAAACAUAAAUAUCCCAACAAAGAGAAAGACAGGGACAGAGACAGACAGAGAGAACCUCAAGAGAUCCCAGAAGUGGAGGAAGCAUUCAUUGGAAUUUCCCCCUCACCACAACUCUCUUUUCCUCAGCAGCAACAACUCGAUUCCCCGGUUCUUGUCUUUCGGAAUGAAUGAAAAUGCUGCCACUUCUGCCACAACUUCUCUCGCUCUCUGGGGCGGAAUUCUGUUCGGUUUUCCAUGCUCAUGUUGUUGUGGUGUUUAUAGGGGUUUUCCUUCGUGUUUCGUGUUCCUGUAAAUUGAUAUGGCCAUGGCGGAUUACCACGAGAGUGGCAGGGCGGGUACGCAACGACUUCUCUCUAUUAAUAAGCCUAAUUAAAGCCCAUGAAAAAACAGUAACAUUAAUCUGCUGGAUCUCUUCUUGCAUGUCCAUGAAAAGUGAAUUUGUUCGCCUUUAAAAUUGAGAUUUUAAGAUGAUAUUUUAAGCUGAUAUUCAGUGUGUCAUAACAAGUUGAUAUGCGAGAAGAUACCUUCCGUGAAAAUGGAGUGUUUUGCGAUCUAUUGAUUGUCAUUUUAAUCGAAUUAAAUUGAUUUUAAAGUCAGGGGCGAUGUUUGUAUGUCACUGGGGAAUUGAUUCCCUUCUCAGUUCUCUUCCAUAUCUUCCCCAAAAGGGCACAAGGACUGAGGUCUCCAGCCAUCAAACUAUAAACAUGUUCAGUACCAACAAAAAUGAUUGGAAAUUAUCCUAAAAAUAAAACACAAAUUCAAGAGAGGCAAAGAGAGAGGAAAUCACUUCCUCCUUCCCUCAUCCUGUGCCCCAUCUUCCCCUCUUCCGUUCCUCGUUUCCCUCUUUUAUAGCCCACUUCCCCUUCACCUUCGCCCAUUCUCUCGUUCCUCCCUUCGCAUAACUUAAUAAUUAUUCAUGCAGUUGCCCCCCAAACUACAACAAUUGCAACAAAAGUGGAUGCCACAUGCCCACGCUUCAACAAGAACAACAACAACAACUCAUGGAACAACGAUCCACAACAAACAAAACAGCAACAACAUCGAAAAAGUGCGUUGUAUGUACAUACAUAAACGAAAUCGAAACGAAACGAAUAAUAAAUGAAUGCCACAACACCAACAAAGCAGGGAAUCCAUAAAC
rnacentral:lncRNA from 1 species